GAGAACCGGUGGUCGUUCCUCCCCUAAACCACAGCCUAACUUUGGAAACCUGCAUCUAAACUGCUUGUGGGUCUGGGCUCUUCUAGGCGAAGCGCGUUCGGCGGAAUCGACUUCCUCGACUAUCUCCGUGCCCUGGACCCGCCCUCUCCGCCUGGCGCCAGGCCGCCGAGCGCCGAUCGGCUCGAUGAGCGGAGGCGCUGCUGCGCGCUGCGGCCGACGCCGGGUCUGCACGCACUUUCUCCCCCUCCCAGCCUUUUACCUCGGCUUCCCACUCCUUCCCCCGCCCGCCCAGCACCGCCCGCCCAGCACCGCCAGCCCGGGAGAGCUGCCGGGAGUUCCCCGGGAGCCUCAGGCGGUGACUAUCCUGUUGAGAAGCAGAAAAUACUUCGCAAGUAAAAAAUAUGCCUCCCAAGUUUAAGCGCCACCUCAAUGAUGAUGAUGUCACGGGUUCUGUGAAAAGUGAAAGGAGAAAUCUUUUGGAAGAUGAUUCAGAUGAAGAAGAGGACUUUUUUCUAAGGGGACCAUCCGGACCAAGAUUUGGACCUAGAAAUGAUAAAAUUAAGCAUGUUCAGAAUCAAGUGGAUGAAGUUAUUGAUGUCAUGCAAGAAAAUAUUACAAAGGUAAUUGAGAGAGGGGAGAGACUAGAUGAACUACAGGACAAAUCAGAAAGCUUAUCGGAUAAUGCAACAGCUUUUAGCAACAGAUCCAAACAACUUCGAAGGCAAAUGUGGUGGCGCGGAUGCAAAAUAAAAGCCAUCAUGGCUUUGGUUGCUGCUAUCCUUUUGCUAGUGAUUAUCAUUCUUAUAGUCAUGAAAUACCGUACUUGAUUUGAUGACAGAGAUCUUCAUUAAACAAGAUCUGGGACAGUAAUAAAAGAUUGCUGCAUAAUUUAAAUGAAACCUAUGUGUAUAUAACUUUCAAAACUUCUUUUUCAAGAAACUAAGAGCUCAGAUCAUCCUGCACUUGAAAAAUGAAGUUUUACCAUCAUCAAAACUAUCAUUAUUUAACAACAAGUGAAGAUCAACAGAAAAAUUCAAGUAGCUUUGCAAAUACUAGUUGAUUCUCAGUGAAAUCACGUCACUAUUUUCAUGCCUGAAUCCAUACCCUUGUGAUUUAUGUUUAAUUACAGAAGCCUGUUGCCUUGCAGCAAUUUUGUUGUUAUAAUACUGAUAAUUAAUUACUCCUUCUUAUUAUAACUCAGUAAUACCUGUGGUCGUUUGGUUCCUCUAUCCUGACAAAGUUCACUGGAAAUUGCCCUCAGAUUUUAUAAACUGGGGGAUUUCUUAAUUAGAUGAAAGUUCACUAUUAAAGAUGGAAUAUUAUAUAAGAUGGAGGAAGGGUAAUUAAUACACAUGAGAUAUAGAAAUACUUUGUUAGCCCUCCUAUAGAUUGCCUAUUGUAGUCUUUCUGUGCAUUUCAGUACUCUGUAUUAGAAAAUUAUAACUUCAGCACUUUUGAUGGCAAAAAUUGGCAUCUUUCAAUUCUGUAUAGUAUGUGGGUGUCCUGUAAAUGAUAGUACGUGUACAGACUGAGAAGGCAGGACUAUAAUAUAAAGAAAUUGAAAUCUCUCAUUGCCGGUAUACUCUAAAACAGGCUUGAUGCCUUGUCAGCAUCAUUGCCCACAUUGACUCUGUAAUCUGUAUAUACACUAUGAUUAGAAAACAUGCAAGAAAUUGUUUUUCCAUGUUAAGAACAAAUGCCAAUAGAAGAUGUCCCCUUAAUUGUAUUGUCAGAGUAUUACUAUGUCAAGGAUGACUGUUCUGUUAACCUAAUUUUGUGUUUUCACAUGGAAAUGUGAUUGGACUCCAUUUUUCUGUGAGUUGAGAGUAAGAGCAUAAGUCAGUUUGAAAGCAUUUACAAGUUUGUUUUAGAAUGUAGUGUAGGGCUUAUAUUUGUGCAGGAAAUUGCCACAAAGCAGUGGAAAGACACUGGAUUCUAAGGGCUGAAAGGUGCUCUACUUCUUGUUUUUUCCAUGUUGUAGACAAAUGACAUCAUGCCUUAGAUUGAUGUAGAGUUUAGGUCCUCUUUAAUACUUUGAUGUUAGUCUUAUUCUGACUCUUUUUUCUGGAAACCAAGUAGAAUUAGGGAUGGGAACACAAAUGCAUUUAUUCUGGCUCCUGUUUUAUUCCAUGAAGCUUCUUGGAACAAAUCAGUAGGAAUUGAAAAGAAAGCAUGACCAACCCAGUUACAGGGGAUAAAUGUAAGCUUGUGAAAGUAAGCACCACACCAUGUUUCUGUCUCCCCAGCACCCAGCACAGUGCUGUGUACCUUGGCAGAUGCUAGACAAAUGUGUGUUGAAUGAAUGUGCCUGUGAAGCCACAAAGAUGCCACAUGUUAGUAUAUCAGUGAGAGCUGACUCGAUAGUGCUCCCUGGAGAAGCAACAUGAGCCUUUUGCUUUUGCCUGGAUAUAGUGGUGCUCUUCUACUGUAAUUGGGUGUGGAAAAACUCUGGCUUUAUGGUAUUCCAUUAGGUUCUUUUCAUUUAAAGUAGUCUUAAAAUCAAAGUAUCAAAUAUUUUAAAGCCACAAAGUAGAUUACAUAAUUAGCAGAGAUUUUAGUCAGUAAAAUGUUAGAAAUCAAACUAUAAGAAAAUUCAAGCCAUUUAUUUUGUGUCUUGGGUAUCUGUCAUUAUUUUAAAUUCCACGCUCCCUUACUUAAUCACUUUGGUAAGUGCCUUUGAUGUUUGUUUUGAGAUGUAUAGUGGGAGAUGAGUAAAUGUAAAUGUCAUGUGCCCUGUUCCCUAGCUUCUCAAUUCCUCAUAACCAUUUUUACCAGUGUUGGUAAAGUUUAGUCCUUUGUGUUAAUAUCAGAAAUGUAUUUGUAGCCCCUCCAUAGUGAACAGUGAAAUAAACUAUUUCAUAGAAAACAAAAAUUAA